GGGCAGGUAGCUUAGCUUGGUAGAGCACUACGCUGAUAAAGCAGACACGUAGAGGUCAUCGGUUCAAAUCCGAUCCUGCCCA
rnacentral:tRNA from 1 species